CGUAGUAGAAAAUAAAACUUUAUAAAAUAAAUAAAAAAAAUGAAAACUGUUUAUUGCAAAAGGCACGAAGUGCAAAUAUUCUAUUAUAAAGUAUUUUUUUUAAUUUAUUAUGUGAUAUUGUGUACAUAGAUUCGGCUAAUACUAUUUCUAAGCUAUAUUUUAAUAAUAAUAACGUCCAGGCAAUGCAAAGCAAUUAUUUUUUAAAUGGUACCUGCGGGAACCGGUUCAACUCCCGGAUGGCAAUGACGCUGAUCGCCAGUAGGAAGCGAAUCACCAUACGGAGUGGAUGUUCAACAUAUAGGUCAUAUAAUAAAUUGAAAUAAAGUAUCGAUGAAAAUCACCACUGUUUUGUAUACCUACCUUCUAGCGGGUUAAUACAUUGGAGGCGAGGUAAAUUGUAAUAAAAAAAAAUAAUACUGUUGGAAAAAAUAAGAGAUCUAAGUGGUGCAAACAAAUGCAGCUUUGCACAUGAAAACAGAUUUUUCGCACACCAGUUCCGUUAUUCUCCUUACCCUUAUCUUUGUUUGAUCGGUUAAAGAAUAAACAAGAACAACAACUGCAUCAGUGAGUUAACCAAAUUUGAAAAGAGCGUAUGAAGAAUUCGGAUCCGCAGAGAAAUAAUGUGUGUGGAAGAGCGUUAGAAAAUAACAUGAAUUAGGAGAAUUUGGCAGUACCAACGAGCACCAAAUUUGAAAAGAGCGUAAGAAGAUAUUCGAAUUCGAUUGGCUUAAGAGAAUUUGUUAGUACAAAUAGCACCAAAUUUGAGAUAAAUAUAGCUGACUUUUAGUCAGAGGCAGUACCAAGAGAACAUACCGAAACAAAGUAUACACACACGUAUAUGCGAAAAUAUAUAUAUUGUAGCAUAUGUGCCAUAGUAUAACACUUGACUACAUUUACUUACACACACACACAUACAUUACUAAAUAGCAACAGCCAUACACCAAAUCAUAGAAUGCCUUAGGAUAUAAGUCAUAAAUUCAAGUAUUCCAUAAGAACGCUAAAUACAUAAUGAACUAUAUCAACGACCAUGACGGAGAGUGUAAUACAGCCUUUUCUUUAUGAUACUAUCGACAAGUCUCUUUUGCUUUUGAAAUUUAUCUCAUAGUCGAGGAAAUCCCCACAGUGGUAAAGAAGUAAACUUCUUCAUCUUGUGGAACCAUAGUUUCAAACUGCGGCAUUCUCAUUACCUGACGCUGCUAAAUGGAUAUUUCUCGCCAAAGCAAAAUUCCAGUUUUGAGAGGCAUUUGUUUAGGAGUUUUGGCCCCACAGAAGGUGAGACGUUCGCAAAGUUUGUCUUAAGGCUGCGGCAUCAAUUACCGAAAUGUGAUUUUGGAGUUAUUAAAGCAGAAAUCGAAGAUAUCUAUUAUAUUAUAUUAUUAGAAAAAGAAUACACCCUUUCACAAAUGAUAUAAUUGACAGGCAUAAAGUCGAUGAGGAAAUUAAUAAACCGUCGGAAAUGAUGCGAUCUGAAACGAUAAAGGACCCAGAAACCGAAGGAGUAAGGACAAUCUCAACAGGGCAUAUGAAUUCAAAUAGAUCUUUGGAGCAAUAGUUCGGCAUGUCCAGCCAAAAACCAAAAAUGCAGCAAGUACUCUCAAGUGCAGAACAACAUAGUUUUAGAGGCUAUGCUACACAAGAAUUGCUGCACGUAAUUUGCGUUUUUGAAGCUCCCAUAUCAAUUGGUUUAAAUUGGUGCUUGCUUCAUUUUUUGUAAUAAAAAAACGGAACACAAUCACUAUUGGAAAAAAUUAACGGCAGUCAAAUUAAAUGUCUUACGUUUAGGACUCGAAGUAAAGAAAAUGAAAAAUGUGACGCCGUUUCCAAAGUGGAAGGGACAGGCGGUAAAAUUAUCAAUCGAUGCAACCAACAAACCGAUUCAGCAAGCAAUAUAACAGUUGCAUUUGAGGACAAAGUAAGCAAAUUUGGAAGAAGCUGUGGGUCUUGAAUUUAUUGAGCCAGUAAUAGGUCAUAUACCGUGGAUAUCACCUAUGAUUAUAGUAUUCAAAUAGACUGGCGACAUCAGAAUUUGCAUAGACAUGAGGCUUGCGUCAAAGAUGUUCUUUAAGUAAACAAUGUAACCUUGAAUGACGAAAAAUGUGUUUGGAAAACACAGCAAGUUAAAUUCUUGGUGCACAUUUUUCAGACAAAGGCAUUAAAGUAGAUCGAAAAGGUGGCAACGAUUCCUUCAUUCAGAGACUCAAAAAACAAGGAGGUUACCCGACCUAAAGCUCCAUUUGGCGAAAAUUCCGACCUUAUCAUACUUCGAUCCAAACAAUAGAACACGCCUAAUAGCAGACGACACUCCAGUUGCGUUAGGAAAUUCUAUACCACCGGCGAUCAAAAGAUUGUUUGCAAGACGCUGCCAAUCAGACGUAGAAAAACGGUACUCUCAGACCGAGAAAGAAAGCCUGUGAGCAGUUGAAAAGUUUAGUUUUUAUUUAGCCGGACUAGAAUUCAAAUUGGUGACUGACCACAAGUCGUUGGAAACCAUUUUUAAAACUUCAAAACCUCCAGCUCGAAAUGAACGAUGGCUGUUACGCCUACAAGCUCUUAAAUACAAGGUCAUCUACAAAGCGGGUAAGGAAAACAUCUCUUUCCAUAAACAAAUUCUAGCUGGCAGAUAACUGCACUUAAUGUAUUUCGGGAUAUUGAGUACACUGUCCCUACAUCAUUGAACAUAUCGGAAAUCGCACGCUGCAGAUGAUGAAAUCAUGGACGAAAUGACCUGUUUGGAUGAAAAUUACUGGCAAGCUGGCACAUCUUUCAGCUUCUACCCAUUUCGUUUCGAACUUUCAAUGCAUGGUUAAAUUUUAUUGAGUGGCACACGGUUAAUCAUCCCAAAAGGACUGCGCAAUAGAGUUUUAGAAUUAGCUCAUGAAGUGCACUGCACCCGGGUGAGUCGCCACAUCGAUCGAGAUGCUAAAAAUGUUGUGAAAACAUGCAAGAUUUGCAUGUUCGUUUCUCAACCGCCACGUCCAGCCCCAAUGCUAAGAACAGUUUUUCCAACAAGCCCUUGGAAUUCCAUAGAUAGUUAUCUAUUAGGUCCACUUCCAAACGGAAAAUACCUCCUUGUGUUUAUCGACUAUUUUUUCAGGUAUAUGGAGAUAACAUUUUUACAGACAAUAUCAUCGAAAUCAAUAAUCGGGGCGAUGAAAGAAAUAUUUUCCCGCUUAGGUUUCCCAAAAUAUCUGCGGACUGAUAACGGGACACAAUAUAUAUAUAUAUAAGUAAGAUUUUCGAACAAUACUGUAACACGAAUGGCAUUCCUCCAUAUUGGCCUCAGGCGAAUGGUGAGGCUAAAAAUAUCAAUCAAUCGUUAGUUAAGAGACUAAAAAUUUCCCAUUUCAACGAAACCAAUUUGCAGCAAGCAAUCCAGGAUUUUAUGUUUAUGCACAAUGUCACUCAACAUAGCACAAACAGUCACAUUGUAUUAUUCUUGUGAGUUUCUAUAGAUUUGCCAAAAAACUUUUUGCACCCCAACUCUAACUCCCUAAAACCGCCAAUCCUGCCACUCCCACAUUUUUGAAAAAUUGUUGGUCA